GCGACUCAUGUCACUAGGACAUGGAGUCGCAGAAUAUGAAUAUGCUAACUAAGGGGACGGCUGAUUGAGAUUGAGGUCAGCCGGCGGGGCCUUGCCUCCUGCGCGCGAUUCCCUGAAUUCAGAAGGGAACUUUGCCAGCUAAUAUUUCAGGAACCUUAGCAUCGAUUAUAAUGCAGAUGCUCUUGAAUAGUACACAGUGCAAGGAGCUGUCAGCUGAAAGCUUCAGGCCUGAAGACACAGAACUUCUAUUUAUAAUUGGAACCUAGGAUAGAAAUUAAGUGGAUCUGCAGAGAAGAAUGACUGAAAAUCUCCAAAUGUAGGUGUGCAAGCCUUGAGGCAUCAUACUAGAAGACUGGAAGCUGCCAAUGGUGCUUCAAACUUAUUACUGAGUAAAG